AUUGAACGCUGGCGGCAUGCUUUACACAUGCAAGUCGAACGGUAACAGGGUGCUUGCACCGCCGACGAGUGGCGAACGGGUGAGUAAUGCGUCGGAACGUGCCGAGUAGUGGGGGAUAACGCAGCGAAAGUUGUGCUAAUACCGCAUACGUACUGAGGUAGAAAGUGGGGGACCUUCGGGCCUCACGCUAUUCGAGCGGCCGACGUCUGAUUAGCUAGUAGGUGAGGUAAAGGCCCACCUAGGCGACGAUCAGUAGCGGGUCUGAGAGGAUGAUCCGCCACACUGGGACUGAGACACGGCCCAGACUCCUACGGGAGGCAGCAGUGGGGAAUUUUGGACAAUGGGCGAAAGCCUGAUCCAGCCAUGCCGCGUGUCUGAAGAAGGCCUUCGGGUUGUAAAGGACUUUUGUCGGGGAGGAAAUCCCCAGCGUUAAUACCGCUGGGGGAUGACAGUACCUGAAGAAUAAGCACCGGCUAACUACGUGCCAGCCGUCGCAGUAA
rnacentral:rRNA from 1 species